UUGCAAUGAUGACAAUCUUAGGACACCUUUGGAUUAAACCAUGAAAACAUUUUUUGAUCUGAGCAAC